GAAAUGAAACGCAUUUUAUUAACUAUCUAAACACUUGCAGACAAAUGGAAUACAGAACGGACAAUGAACUAUGUAUACUUCAUAAAUAUAUGUACCCACCAAGAUACAUAUAUUUACAUAUUUAUAUGCAAUGCGACAUUUAUCAAGUAAAGUGAUUACUCAAUCGUCAUCGUCAGAAACAAGAAAACAUGGUUAAAUUGAUGUAGAAUAACAAAUACAAAUCAUAGCACGAGUUCAAAGUGCAUUUAGACUUUAAAUCCGUGAUUCUGAUACCAUAAACUGGAGGAAGACCGACACAGCUGUCCAUGUUAGCAGCCCACACAUUGCAGGAAAACGAAAGUUGUAUUCAAGUAUGUAACAAUUUCGUUUUCAGGAACUGGUUUUGACUUGCUAUCUUUUCAAAUGCAUCAUUUGGACAGCUUAACAAUCUGCAUAUUGUUGUUCAUUAGGCAUCAACAUUUUUCAAAGUACAUUUCAGUGAAUAUGGGUAAUAAUUUGUUUAAGAAAUGGUUGUAACAAACACAAUUUUUCUCAAUGUUAAAAUUUUAUUGUUGUUAUUAUUUCCGGUCUGGGUUACUAAUAUUCCUCUCCAAAUAGCUACCAUGUCAUGUUUAGAAAGCUGUUAUUCAUCACAUGGUAAUCAACUGUGGCCAAUUUAGUGAUGUCUUCGGUGCCUUGAUAAUUCAGGAUGCAUCUUUUAUACAAGAAAUUUGCAGCAAUUAUUAUAAAAUACCUAAACAGUACCAUUUUAUUUUUCUAAAUUUCAGACAGUUGGCCAUUGCAUGUAAAAUAUUGUAAUUUAACUUUUACAAACUAACUAAUUUAAGAUUUCUACCUGAACAACGCAAACACGGACAUAAAAUUUAAUUAGUUACAAUAGAAUUCCAGGUAAAACAUUUUUUAACGUUGGCAUAAUCACGUCCUGACUAGAAGCAUAUAUGUAUGUCGCUUAAA